rnacentral:rRNA from 1 species
CCCUUAGAUGUCCUGGGCCGCACGCGCGCUACACUGAGUGUCUGAGGUACGAGUCUGCCUGGUCCGGCAAGGUCUAGGUAAUCGCUAAAAGACACAUCAUGCUUGGGAUAGAUUAUUGCAAAUAUUAAUCUUGAACGAGGAAUUCCUAGUAAGCGCAAGUCAACAGCUUGCGUUGAUUACGUCCCUGCCCUUUGUACACACCGCCCGUCGCUACUACUGAUUGGGUGUUUAAGCGAGGUUCUCGAACUGCUAGCGACUUAGCUUCGGUGAGGUCGCAGUGUGGGAAGUGAACCUAGCUUUGGUGUCUAGAGGAAGUAAAAGUCGUAACA